rnacentral:rRNA from 1 species
AGUGAACGCUGGCGGUAGGCCUAACACAUGCAAGUCGAACGGCAGCACAGUAAGAGCUUGCUCUUACGGUUGGCGAGUGGCGGAUGGGUGAGGAAUACAUCGGAAUCUACUUUUUCGUGGGGGAUAACGUAGGGAAACUUACGCUAAUACCGCAUACGACCUACGGGUGAAAGCAGGGGAUCUUCGGACCUUGCGCGAAUGAAUGAGCCGAUGUCGGAUUAGCUAGUUGGCGGGGUAAAGGCCCACCAAGGCGACGAUCCGUAGCUGGUCUGAGAGGAUGAUCCGCCACACUGGAACUGAGACACGGUCCAGACUCCUACGGGAGGCAGCAGUGGGGAAUAUUGGACAAUGGGCGCAAGCCUGAUCCAGCCAUACCGCGUGGGUGAAGAAGGCCUUCGGGUUGUAAAGCCCUUUUGUUGGGAAAGAAAAGCAGCAGGUUAAUACCCCGCUGUUCUGACGGUACCCAAAGAAUAAGCACCGGCUAACUUCGUG